UUUUCAUAAGUGUCUACGCAAAUCUUUUGCCCAUUUUUAAUCAAAUUAUCAGAUUUUUUUCCCUAUGGAGUUUUUUGAGCUCCUUAUGCAUUCUGGUUAUUAAUCCCUUGUCAGAUUAGUAAUUCUCAAUCUCCUAUUCUGGGGGUUGUCUCUCCACUUUGCUGUUUCCUUUGCUGCC